AGGGUUUGAUCAUGGCUCAGAACGUACGCUGGCGGCACGCCUAACACAUGCAAGUCGAACGAAGUAGCAAUACUUAGUGGCAGACGGGUGAGUAACAUGUAGGUAUCUGCCCUUUGGCCUGGAAUAACACGAGGAAACUUGUGCUAAUACCGGAUAAGUCUUUACGGAGAAAGCUUUAUGCACCAUUGGAUGAGCCUGCACUUGAUUAGUUUGUUGGUAGGGUAAUGGCCUACCAAGACUGUGAUCAAUAGCUGAUUUGAGAGGAUGAUCAGCCACAUUGGGACUGAGACACGGCCCAAACUCCUACGGGAGGCAGCAGUGGGGAAUCUUGCACAAUGGAGGAAACUCUGAUGCAGCGAUGCCGCGUGAGUGAAGAAGGCCCUUGGGUUGUAAAGCUCUUUCGUCGGGGAAGAAAAUGACUGUACCCGAAUAAGAAGGUCCGGCUAACUUCGUGCCAGCAGCCGCGGUAAUACGAAGGGACCUAGCGUAGUUCGGAAUUACUGGGCUUAAAGAGUUCGUAGGUGGUUGAAAAAGUUGGUGGUGAAAUCCCAGAGCUUAACUCUGGAACUGCCAUCAAAACUUUUCAGCUAGAGUUUGAUAGAGGAAAGCAGAAUUUCUAGUGUAGAGGUGAAAUUCGUAGAUAUUAGAAAGAAUACCAAUUGCGAAGGCAGCUUUCUGGAUCAUUACUGACACUGAGGAACGAAAGCAUGGGUAGCGAAGAGGAUUAGAUACCCUCGUAGUCCAUGCCGUAAACGAUGUGUGUUAGACGUUGGAAAUUUAUUUUCAGUGUCGCAGCGAAAGCGAUAAACACACCGCCUGGGGAGUACGACCGCAAGGUUAAAACUCAAAUGAAUUGACGGGGACCCGCACAAGUAGUGGAGCAUGUGGUUUAAUUCGAAGAUACGCGCAGAACCUUACCAACACUUGACAUGUUCGUCGCGACUCUAAGAGAUUAGAGUUUUCGGUUCGGCCGGACGAAACACAGGUGCUGCAUGGCUGUCGUCAGCUCGUGUCGUGAGAUGUUGGGUUAAGUCCCGCAACGAGCGCAACCCUCACUUUUAGUUGCCAUCAUUUAGUUGGGCACUCUGAAAGAACUGCCAGUGAUAAGCUGGAGGAAGGUGGGGAUGACGUCAAGUCCUCAUGGCCCUUACGUGUUGGGCUACACACGUGCUACAAUGGUAUCUACAACAGGAAGCAAAAUCGCGAGGUUAAGCAAAUCCUUAAAAGAUACCUCAGUUCGGAUUGCACUCUGCAACUCGAGUGCAUGAAGCUGGAAUUACUAGUAAUCGUGGAUCAGCGUGCCACGGUGAAUACGUUCCCGGGUCUUGUACACACCGCCCGUCACACCAUGGAAAUUGGUUUUACCUUAAGGCAAGUUAUUAACCCUCGGGAAAUGCUUGACUACGGUUAAAUCAGUAACUGGGGUGAAGUCGUAACAAGGUAGCCGUA
rnacentral:rRNA from 1 species